rnacentral:rRNA from 1 species
CCUUACCUGGGCUCAAACGGGCCGGAAAACCCCCUGAAAGGGGGGCUGUCUUUCGGGACGUCCGGUUCGAGGCGCUGCAUGGCUGUCGUCAGCUCGUGUCGUGAGAUGUUGGGUUAAGUCCCGCAACGAGCGCAACCCUUGCCGCCAGUUGCCAGCGGGUAAAGCCGGGGACUCUGGCGGGACCGCCCGCGCAAGCGGGAGGAAGGUGGGGACGACGUCAAGUCAGCAUGGCCCUUACGUCCGGGGCUACACACGUGCUACAGUGGCCGGCACAACGCGCAGCGACUCCGCGAGGAGAAGCGAAUCGCUAAAAACCGGUCCCAGUUCGGAUCGGAGUCUGCAACUCGACUCCAUGAAGCUGGAAUCGCUAGUAAUCGCACAUCAGCCAUGGCGCGGUGAAUACGUUCCC